rnacentral:ncRNA from 1 species
CUCUAAUAUUAUUCUAGAUUAUAUAUUUUAAGGAAUAUGUACAAUGAAAUAUUAGAUAUUAAAGGAACUUGUUCCUUCCUAAUUUAGGUAAAAAUGAAACAGUAAAAUACAUAUUAGUAGAGUAAUUAGAAAAUAUGUAUUUUAC